GGGGUUGUGACUCAGCGGUAGAGCGCUCACCUAAUAUGUAUGAGGCUCUGGGUUUGAUCCUCAGCACCACG
rnacentral:tRNA from 1 species